GAAGUGAACAAAAUCUGUGAAUGUUUCUCCUACACUAAUCUGGACGAUCUCUGUAAUUGUUGAUCAACUUCAUCAGCCAUUUCUUCUUUACCAAAUCUCUUAAACCCUCUUCUUAAAACCUUAGCUACAUAUUCAUCAAUCUCAAAUCUAGAACCCCAUCCACUCUUUUUCAUCAAUUCAUAAACCCUAACAGUAGAUUCCACCUGUUCACCUUCAACCAACGCCCUCACCAACCUUACCAGCGACUUAUCAUCACACUCAAUCCUUCCCACUUUCUCCAAAUCACAAAUCAAUUCAUCGAUAGGUUCAGCAAAACCUGUCCGGGUCAAAGCUAAGACCAUAUCAGCAUAAAGCCCUAAAUCAGGGACAUCACAUUCCGAUUGAACGGCUGGGAAUACUUUGAGGGCCAAAUCGCAAAGGUCUUGCCGUAGAAGUUCUUUGUAGGCAGCAAUUAGAUCUGUUUUGAUAAGACGAUUUAGGGUUUUUGAGACUUGAGCUUCGAUUUGAGAAGGGUCAGUUCUUUGAGCUCGUUUUAGAGCUUGAAUCGCUUGGAUUGCUUCGAUGCUUAGUAUUCGGCCCUUAACUAGAGGUCCACGGUUGCUUCGUGGACCGCAUCGUACUGAGAUUUUUCUUCUGGUGGUUGAUUUUGGUGGUGGAAGAGUUACAGAAGAAUGUUGUAAGGUGAAUUUGAG
rnacentral:misc_RNA from 1 species